rnacentral:rRNA from 1 species
UGUUUCGGCUAGGGGGUCAUCCCGACUUACCAACCCGAUGCAAACUACGAAUACCGAAGAAUGUUAUCACGGGAGACACACGGCGGGUGCUAACGUCCGUCGUGAAGAGGGAAACAACCCAGACCGCCAGCUAAGGUCCCAAAGUCACAGUUAAGUGGGAAACGAUGUGGGAAGGCACAGACAGCCAGGAUGUUGGCUUAGAAGCAGCCAUCAUUUAAAGAAAGCGUAAUAGCUCACUGGUCGAGUCGGCCUGCGCGGAAGAUGUAACGGGGCUAAACUGUGCACCGAAGCUGCGGCAGCGACACUAUGUGUUGUUGGGUAGGGGAGCGUUCUGUAAGCCUGCGAAGGUGGCCUGUGAGGGUUGCUGGAGGUAUCAGAAGUGCGAAUGCUGACAUAAGUAACGAUAAUGCGGGUGAAAAGCCCGCACGCCGGAAGACCAAGGGUUCCUGUCCAACGUUAAUCGGGGCAGGGUGAGUCGACCCCUAAGGCGAGGCCGAAAGGCGUAGUCGAUGGGAAACAGGUUAAUAUUCCUGUACUUGGUGUUACUGCGAAGGGGGGACGGAGAAGGCUAUGUUAGCCGGGCGACGGUUGUCCCGGUUUAAGCAUGUAGGCGGAGGUUCCAGGUAAAUCCGGUACCUUUUUAACGCUGAGGUGUGAUGACGAGGCACUACGGUGCUGAAGUAACAAAUGCCCUGCUUCCAGGAAAAGCCUCUAAGCAUCAGGUAACAUUAAAUCGUACCCCAAACCGACACAGGUGGUCAGGUAGAGAAUACCAAGGCGCUUGAGAGAACUCGGGUGAAGGAACUAGGCAAAAUGGUGCCGUAACUUCGGGAGAAGGCACGCUGAUAUGUAGGUGAAGCCCCUGCGGGUGGAGCUGA